UUUUUUUUUUUUUUUUUUUUUUUUUUUGCUUUUUAGGACUGCACGUGCUGCAUAAGGAAGCUCCCAGGCUAGGGGUCGAGAUGGAACUAUAUCACAGCCACAGCAACUCCAGAUCCGAGCUGUGGUAUGGGCCGGCAGCUAUAGCUCCAAUUAGACCCCUGGCCUGGGAACCUCCAUAUGCAGCGGGUGUGGCCCUGGAAAAUGACAAAAAGACAAAAGAAAGAAAAUGCAGAUUUAAGAUCUAGACUUAGUAUAGUGUCCUACUUCACAGAGGUAUUGUGACAAAAUGGUACUAUCUGAAACUAUUACAGUAUAUUUCAUGAAAAUAUGGAAGUUAAUAAAUGUAUAAAGGCAAAUAAAAUAAUGAAAUCUUGAGACAGUUUCAUUUGAUACAGUUGGUACAAAAGUAAAAUUAAAGCAAAGCGAUUCUGAGAGGCGGGGUAGGAGUGGGGAAUGGAGGAGAGGAGCCCUGCAGAACCAGGUUGGGGGUGGGGGUUUGGGGGGAAAUCGUUACAAAUAAUUAUUUCAACUUUUCACCUCAUUGUCAUAUUUUCAUCAGCAUUUGCAUCUGUAUUUAAAGAGCUACAAUAUUUUCUAGGCAGAAAAAUAUUAUAAAACUGGUAACACAAAAAGUGAACUACUACAAUUUUAAAACAUCUGAUUUUUCCUGGCCAAUGUGACUUUAAAGGUAUUAUCACACAGAAGGAAAAAAAUUAUGUGGAACAAAUGAAAAAAAGUACCUCUGUCAUAAACUUUGAAACAUAAUAUUACAUAUUUUUUUUAAAAGUCUAAGGAGAAAUUUUGGGGAGAAAAAGACAUAGUCUUCAAAAAAUAAUUUAACUUGGCCUGAAUUCAUAAGAAUAUCCCUUAGUUUUGCAAAUUGCCUCCAAUUUGCUGAGAGCCAUUCUUUUAUGCCAGCUUAAAAUAAGCAAAGAUUACACAAGUACCAUGUGCCAUCCUAAAUAAGGAAAGGGGAAAAAAAACAAGUACAAUAUGGUAUUUAAACAGCUGUGUGAAGAUCACUGGUUAAAACAAGAAUCAUUUUUUCAGCUGAGCUUGUUAUGCUUCACUUUGCUAAAUAUAAACUAGUGCAUCAUUAAAUUAACCACUGAUUUGUAGACCAAAGCCCAGAGCCCCACCUGCAAAUAAUCCAAUAAACAUAAUAAUUUUUCAAAUGCUAGUGAAAUUGUCAUAAUUUGGGGCUGAAAAUGUGGAUAAGGAAGAAAAAAAAUGCAGAAAUUAUUUUGUAGCUGUAAUGGGCAAAAUGCAGUUGUUUUCAUUAUUUGCAGUUUUAUUUGAGGGAGCUGACAAAUGUACAACAAAUAAUACUUUUGUAAAUACUCUAGUAAGAAUUUCACACCAGUCAAUUAGUGAAGAUUAUUGCAGAAGCUCAAUCUUUCGGAAACAAACAAAAAUUUUAGAUGUUAUGCAGCCAGUCUAGUUGAGCAUUACAAGCAAAUGAGCUUGAACCAGUUGACAAAAUGGAGCAAAACAAAGCAUGCACUUAAAAUAAUUUUACUUCAAAAUGUCCAUGAGGCAACAUUCAGUAUAUUAGAAUAGUUAAUGUACUAUGUGGUAUGUCACUGACCAAAGAAUUAAUACUUGUUCACAUAGACUCACUUUAGUCUUCUCUUUCCAUUAUGUUAGAGAAUUUUAUUUCCCCAUAAAGGAAAUAAAGCAUUGUGGUAAAAUGUGUGAUUAAGCAAGUAUGUUCAGAAGGUAAUAAAUAUUCGUGGUCUCAGGGCCAUCGUGUUACACAAAUCCAUUCAGAAAAGAGGAUCUUUAAGCGAGACUCAUGUACUCCUCCCUCAUUCGCCAGAAAGUUCGACAGAGAGAAUCUGGGGGGUGGUCCAUAUAUUUGGAUGGAAAAGAGAUCACAUGUUUAUUUUCACUUACAUCUAACUAAAUGUUUAAAUUUCUCACUAUUAAGAAUGCAGACAAUAAAGGACAGUAGCAUUAGCACUACCUUGGGCCAACAGUGAUCACAGAUAUUCUGAAAUAGUGUCAUGCUCAUCACUAACUCCAAAAUUAAAAUAACUUAAUACAAGUAAUACCAUUUCUUACUUAUUAUUACCAUACAAUUGUUAGUAUAUUGGAGAUUUGAAAGUAUUUUGUUGACUAUAUUUCAACUUAACUCAUUUGUUUUAUAAUCCUAUGCAUAUUUUGUGCAUCUGAAAACAUUCUGUGACAGCCAAGGACUUCCCCAGAUUGACCAAAAAAACCUCUCUUAAACACCUUUUAUGUUUAACCCAACAAGGUGAGGGAAAGAAGAAGACAUGAAAUUCUGGAGCUUAAAAUUAUCUUUUGUGUUAAAUUUUUUUUUUUUUUUUUUAGUUUUGCCUUACUUUUUAAAUCUGUAAGGACAAUCUUCUUAGCUGAAGCCAAUCAAAUAAAAACAGCUUUAAGCACUAAUUGACAUCUUCCUUGUCCCUCCUUUAUUGGUUCUAGCAAGUGCUCUUUUGUUUAAAGUUUUACACUAACAGUGGGAAAAGUAUUAAAUUUAUUUUAAAAGUAACUUCAACAUGAAGUAGUUUAUGAUGGAGAGAAGAUGUUGCGUAACCUUGACAGUAGACUGCUUUCUAUGCCCAGUGAAUGUAAACAGCUUCUUGUGAUCCUGGUUGAUGGAUAUUGGAGAAGGGGAGGAAAAGGUUUUGCAAGAUCAGCAGCUACACACCAGAGGCCAGGAUGACUGGCUCUAGUAAAAAGACUGUAUCUGGAACAGUAGUUGCCAUUGGAAUCACAAUCUGAUUAAACUUACAAUAAAACAUCACAGCUGCCCAGGCCCAUCCUCCUUUUGCACAAGCCAAGAAGGUGAAUAAAAUGAGUAUGUGAUAAAAUGCCUACUACUGAAUUGCUCAAGUAUGUCAGGGUAGCUCUAAUCUGUGCAAUUCCUGUGAUAGUCUUAGUCUCCUGGAUUGGAGAACACUUCCAGAGCUUUCCACUCGGCCCCCUUUCUUCAUAAUACCCCUCAUACCAUGACUCAGAGAAAAUAUAAAAGUUCGGUAGGGUAAUAAGCAUCAAAGAACUAGGACAAUGAUCAUAAAGUAGAUAUACAGACUCCCUGGAACUAGAGUGAGAUGAGCUCAAUCUAGAGGGGGAGAGAGGGAGGGAAAGAGGAAAGGAGCAAAAUCAUCAUCCGUUCACCAUAAGGUCUCAUCCUUCCAGAAUGAUGGCAGGGUUUGGUUCCCUGCAAAGUUUAGUAUCAAGUGAAGGUCAUGUCUAGGAACCUCUAAAAGAGCUCAGAAUUUUCUCCUCUAUAAUGUUCAAUCACUCUGAUCAAUAACUGAGAUCCCACCAAGGAACCAAGAUUUUCAGUAUAUAUUUAUAGCAAUAGCAAUGGUUAUUCCCAAAGGAAUCCAGCUCUCCCCCUUUUAUUUAAGGGUACUGGACUUGUUAACUGGAUCAGGUCUAGAAACUUAGUGAGAGCCCAUGGUGUGCCAUGAAGGUGAAUGAAAUUGGGUUUCUGCUCAUGUGACCCAAAAGUUUCUGCCCUAAAGACUGUACUUUAAUGGUUUAGCCACCACCAAUGGUAACCACAUUGAGGUCACACAAUUUCGAUUGUCACUCUGGCUCUUCUACACAUUAUAGUGACUAUACCCACCUUGCCUCCAACAGUUACACCUAGACCCCCAGCCUCGGUGACUCCUGGAUUCCAUGAUUCCAUUUAGAAUGAGAGCCCAUUUCAAGAGCGGCACGUAACAUAUUCCAAGGCAAUUAGAGCAUCCCAGGAUUUUUUCAAGAUUCAAGCGCUCCCUCCACUGAUGCAUUUCCCAAUAUCUCAACAAGGCAAGUAUUUGUGGGUCACACAGGAUAUAUCCACUAUUAUCUCCCUAGUUUAGCUGAGGCCAUUAUAUUGUCUUCAAGCUGGGAAAAAUUAAUCCCCUCAGAGAAACAAGGAGGGGCUGGCUCCACGGUAAAGCACAGGUGAAACUACAAAUAAAGCAGAGAGAAAACUGAUGUUUAAAAUCCUCAGCUUCCUGUUCCCAUGUCUACCCAAUCGAUUCUUAUCUUUUACAUCAAAAAGUUCGGGAGGCUGUGAAUUUAACUUAACAUGUGAUUCUACAAUGCUCAGGGGGCAAAUCUGGGGUCUUAUUUUCUGCUGCAUCAGCACUGCAACAAUAAAAGACAGGACAAUCUUGAGGGACCAAGCGCAUCCAGGAGUUCUCCGUUUUUCUCACCAUAUUCGAAUUGAGAGUUUAAAGCCCUAAACUCAUCAUUUCCUUUCUAUGCAGUCAAAAGCAGCCAACCCACUGGAGACUCCUGGAAGUCAUUCAUCAUUCCCACGACAAUGGUCAAUUACAACUUCCGUUUGAUUUCCCAAAGCUUUGGCUUUAGAGAACACUUGACUUCCAAUAAGAAAGCUGCUAAUUUAAGUAACUAAAAGCGCAUGGCAGGGCAUGCUGGCAAUGAGAGCCUACUGUGGUCAAUCCCAAUCAGUCCAGAUAAGCGAUUCCAGAUUCUCAUCUUUGAAAUCUUUUCUGAGACCAGUCCUGGUGAUUAUCCCCUAGAAUUGAAUUAUUCUGGGUAUUUCAAACAUGGGGAAGUUAACAGGAGAAAUUGAAUAUGCAGGGGUUAGAAGAACAACAGGGUGCAUAGCUGGAGGCACAAAAUAAAAACAGGGCUGCUCAUCAAAGCCAGGGCACUACCAUGCUGGGCUGGGGCCCACACGCCUGCAACUACUGCUGAACUGGAAACACUGCCACAGUGGCCGUGGGACUGCUCUGUUACUGCUCCGUGGAGCUCAUAUUUCUCAACAGCAGCACAAACAGAGAUGCUUAAGAAACCAAGCCCAGAGCUAGCAAAACAUCCAGCCACGUGUAGUGACCCUCAGUCAUCCUCCACUCCUGCUGGAUGAAGGACACUUUCCAAUAAAGGGGAACAGCUUCUUCUUCCUUCUCGCCCCUUCCAUCUUUCAUCAUCACCUUCCAUUGGCUGUAUCUAACAGACACCUUGUUAGCAACGGUGUCUGGCAUACGUGGUUCACAGGCUUUGUAUCCCUGCACUGGAGUGUACAAGGGCAGGCAUGGAGCUGAGAGAUGACAGCCCUCGAUGGCACAAAAUUAAACACCAGUGGUUAAAUAGAGUAUGGCGGUUUUCAUCUUUGCUUCACCAUAGAAAAAGUAAGCUCAAUGGUAAAUUAAGAACUGUAAAAAAAAAAAAAGGUAUCACGGGAGUACUCAAAAUGCCUUUUCAUUCUAUCUUAGCUUUCUCAAUGUUCAACAUGUAUUUCCCAUGUACCAGUUAUUGUGUCGAAUCCUGGAGUUAAAUAGGCAAAAAUCAACUCCAGGAGUUUUUAACACUAGUUUGAGGAAAGAAACAAAAUACAAUAUAAUAAGAACUAGGCUACGUGCACCAGAUCUAGAGAAGAGAGAACUACCGCUCACAAAAGAGUCAGGGAGGCUUCAGGAAAGAAGUGAACACCUUGCAGUAAAAUUAGAGUUUGGCGAGAAUAAUAACAAGAAAGGGGUACUCCAGAUCAGAAAUACAGCAGGUGCAGAGGUACACACACGUGACAAAGCAUGCCUGGAAAGUGGCAGAAAGUUACACGGUUGGAAUAUCAAGUGAGAAGCUGAGGGGGGUGGUGAACUGGGCAAAAAGCUGGACGGGUUACAAGGGGUGAAAUAGGGUUCUGUUUCUCCUACAGCUGAUCACAUGGUGUUUGAGGGCUUCAUACAGCAGCUCUGUAAGAUCCAACCUGCAUCCUAGAAAGAUAACUGCCAGAGGAGAGGAGGAUUGAUUAGAGAGCAUAACACUGAGGGAAUGGAAGAGCAGUUAGCUAUUCCAGUGAGAGGAAAUAGCACUAAAGGUGCAAUAAACUGAACUAAAUCCCCACUUGUCCUAUAUUCACUGCCUAAGAAAAGCCUGGCUCUCCUCCUCCUUCCUUUUAUAAGUUCCCAAGCUUCUAAUCAAUCUGUCAGGUAAGCCCAUUUCAAAACUAUCCAUAUAUAUUCUAAUGACCACUUUAAUAACCAUGUUUCUCUAUUGAGGUUAAUAAAAUUAUCCUACAGAUUUUUCUAAACAAAAGAUGGAGACCUGUGGAACAUCACUGAAAAGAGAAGCUAGUCAAGAGCAAUGUGAGUUAAGGUGUGGAAUAUAUUCUAUUUUUCACUUAUUUUGUUACGACUCUUUUACAGCAAAUC
rnacentral:lncRNA from 1 species